rnacentral:rRNA from 1 species
GACGAACGCUGGCGGUGUGCUUAACACAUGCAAGUCGAACGGUAAGGCCCUUUCGGGGGUACACGAGUGGCGAACGGGUGAGUAACACGUGAGUAACCUGCCCUCAUCUCUGGGAUAACAGUCGGAAACGGUUGCUAAUACUGGAUAUGAGCUUGCAAGGCAUCUUGUGGGUUGGAAAGAUUUUUUUUGGUUGGGGAUGGACUCGCGGCCUAUCAGCUUGUUGGUGAGGUAGUGGCUCACCAAGGCUUCGACGGGUAGCCGGCCUGAGAGGGCGACCGGCCACAUUGGGACUGAGAUACGGCCCAAACUCCUACGGGAGGCAGCAGUGGGGAAUAUUGCACAAUGGACGGAAGUCUGAUGCAGCAACGCCGCGUGCGGGAUGACGGCCUUCGGGUUGUAAACCGCUUUCAAUUGUGACGAAGCUUUUUUGUGACGGGAGCAGGAGAAGAAGCACCGGCUAACUACG